AAGCGGUACGUGAGCUGGGUUCAGACCGGCGCGAGCCAGGUUGGUCCCUACCUACUGUGGGCGGAGGAGUCUUGAGCGAGUCUAACCUUAGUACGAGAGGAUUGGGUUGGACGGACCUCUGGUGUUCCUGUUGGGCCGCCAGGCCCAGCGCAGGGUAGCUACGUCCGGAAAGGAUAAGCGCUGAAAGCAUAUAAGCGCGAAGCCCUUCGCAAGAUAAGGACUCCCUAUCAGGACCGUGGAAGACUACCACGUCGAUAGGCCGGGUGUGUAAACUCCGAGAGGAGAAAGCUAACCGGUACUAAUCAUCCGAUUGGCUUGACCGC
rnacentral:rRNA from 1 species